CUUUUUUUUUGUUCUUGUGAGUGAAGGAAAUAAUCUUACUUCCACAUUAAAUGAAAAGGAAUUUUGCUGUACUUCGUUUCACAUGGUCUUUAGCAAUGUGUAUGUAUUUUCUUAGGGGAGCGAGCGUUAGAAGGAUGAGAAAGUAUCCAUAGACAUAUAGCCGAAAGCAUUAUUAUAUACUACCUCUGUUCGUAAAUAAUGGAACAGAGGGUGUGUAGAAUAUUGCCUGAUAGGGAGGGACAUUUUAGCUUCAUCUUGAGUUGUGAGAAAAUGUAUGUCGCACUGGAAUCACUCUUAUAGAAAAUAUGAGCUGAAACGUCACGAAACUCAUGGAUUUUUGUUUGUUUAUUACAUGAUGAGCUGAGAGAUCACACGUGUUGCGUUUAUCAUUUGGGUAUAUUGAUAGGUUGAGUUGUUUAUACUCAGUCCAUUAUUGUGGUAUAUUAUGCGUUUAGAGAGAUAGCUAGCCGUGCAAGUGCACGGGUUAAAAGUCAUUUUCUCAUUACUUUUGGCUCUUUCGUUUUCCAUUUUUUAUAGGUAUUACAAUUGUUGGAUUUGAAAGACAUGGACUUCAUUUUAUAUAGGUAUUACAAUUGUUGGAUUUGAAAGACAUGGGCUUCAUUUUCCUGUAGGAGUCCCACUAGUAGCACCUUUCUUGAUUUCAAAGAAACGGGCUUCAUCUUUUUAGCUUCUUAGGGCCUGUUCGACACUCAUCUAGCUCCGCAAAAUACAGGAGUAUACGGAGCGCCACUUUGGCCACUCCGUGAAAAUAGGCUGCGGGCCGCUCCCGCUCCGGCUGCUCCAGGAGCGGAGAGCUGCCGAACAGGCCCUUAUUACCUGCAGGAGUCCCACUGUCUUUAGAACCUUUCUUAGUACUCCCUCCGUCCGGAAAUACUCGUCGAAGGAAUGGAUGUAUCUAGAUAUGUUUUAGUUCUAGAUACAUCCAUUUUUAGACAUUUCUCCGACAAGUAUUUCCGGACGGAGGGAGUACUACUUAAGCUAAUCUCUUACUCCCUCCGUCCGGGAAAAGUUGUCCCCAUGGCGUUUUUGCACAAAACCCCUCCCAAAACUCCCGACACAACCCGCACUCCUCGUCCUCUCCAAACUUGUCUCCUCGUCGUAUCCUUGCUCUGGCACAGGCGCAUGGACGCCGGAGCUCCUCUGCGCCGCGCUGCUCCCCUGCUCUCCCGCCCGUCCUCCUCCGCCGCCGCAGCUGCCUCCUCCGCCGCUCCCUUCUGCCUCGCGCAGCUCCCCUGCCUCCCUUGCCUGCCUCCCGAAUCUCCCCUCUUUCACCCCAAAAAUCAAUUCUUCUUCCUCCCGCCGCGUCUCCUACUCGCGCGCGGCGUCGACACGUCCUCCUCCUCGCCCCCGCCGCCGGAGGAGGCGCAAGGCAGGCAUCAGUGGCUCGCGUUGUGCCUACGCGACAUCGGGUGAGGCUGCUGGGCAGGCAGCAGUGCCUCGCCCCCGCCGCCGGAGGAGGCAGCGGCAGUGGCGGGCCGACGGGCCGGUCGCCGCCUCGGUCGUGCCCCCGUCCGUAGAGGAUGAGGAGGGGAAUCCCGUUCGUCGGCAAGGCUUCCCUCUGUUGCAUUUGCUCCUUCAGCCGUGCGGGGCCGUCGAGGUAUAGACUUUCCUUCUCCUUCCGCUGGGUUUCAGUCAGAGAAUUCAAUUGAAGCAAAUGUCAGUUAACAAAUGUUGAGAACAAGUGUUCAGUUUUUUGCUCUCUCUAAAUUUUCAAAAUUAACAAAUGUUCACAAAUCUUCAGAUUUUGCUCUCUAAAUGUCAGUUAACAAAUUCUUAUUCUUACUAUCAAAUGUUUUUUUUUUGGAACCAUGCAUACUCUGUUCUGUUAGUAUGUUCAGUGGUUACUUUUUGCCACACCCACAUUCCAGAUAUGUCCAGCAGCGCUUGCUCGUCUCCAUCUGACAGAAAGCAAAAAACUGCCUUCAGUUUGGUAGCAUGAUUUCCCUUCAAUUUGGUAGUUUCAGUGUCUAGCUACCUUAGUGCAUUUUGAUCUUGGAGGUUUCUUUCAGUGUGUAGCUACUGCUGAUGCUGAGGCUAGAAAAUGUGUUCUGUGUUUUCUGUUUUUGUUGAAGGAAGGCUAAAUUCUCCUUGUUCCCAAACUGUCAAGCCUGAAUUUUACUCCAUCUCUCUCCAAAUUGUCAACUGAAUUUCGCUCACUGAAAAUUCGACAGUGGAGUACUGUCCAAACUGUAUUCACUGUCUAAAUUUCACUGAUGUCAAAUUUUAUUUAUGUGUCAAGUCUGACAUCAACUUGUAAGAAGAAUAAGGGUGAGUUCAAGAUCAGGUGAUUGAGUGAGUGAUGUGGUUGCUGAAGUUCAGACAUGUUCAAUGAGAACAACUACUGUGGAGAUUAAAUUCAAUGAGAAUAAAUUCAAAUAAAUCCAAAUAAACCCAUCAUGUCAGGAUUCUUGAUCAAAGACCCACUUAGGAUUAGUUUCUCAUUGUUAAACACAAGUUUAAAAUGAAUAUGCUUCUUUUGUUGUGAUAAUCCAAAAUGCUUCUUUUGAGUACAAUAGUUGUAAAAUUUAGUCUAUCUUGAGCUUGAGCUUGGGAGCUUCUUUAGCAAGAUCACUGAAUACAGUGAUUUGUCGCAUAGGAGUAGCUGUAAAUGCUUAAGUGGAGUACUCAAAUUUUGAAAAAUGAGUUGCUUACAGAUUGUUUGCUAUAGUUGCUUAACUCAAAUAAAUUAAGUGCUUCUAGUUUACUAUAGAUUGAUGAGGACCUUUAGAUUCAACCCAAGAAUUCAGCUACAAGAUCAUUUGGGACUACUGAAAAUCCAGUUGCUGUCAACUGAAUUUGACAAGUUAACUUAACAAUUAACUUUAUAGUAUCUCUCACAAGUUAACUUAACAAUUUGAUCUACUGCAAAUAAUCUACUGCAAAUAGUACUCCUAUUCAGAAAUGUUCAGAGGAGGAUGAUAAGAGCUGCUUCAUUUUGUGAUGUACAGUAGGUGUCAAGUUCUAUUUCAGCUCAAGUUCCAUUGCUUUGUUUGGAAACUGCUUGGUAAAUUAACUAGGAAUACAUGAACAUGUCACUUCCAUCUAUCCCCAAACUGUCAAGACUGAAAAUAAACCAUUAUUUCCUCAUGCAUAUAAUUUGAAAAUAAACCAUUGUUUACUGAAUCAUUUAAAGGACUAUCUUGGAUAUGCACAACAGUACAUACUCCAAGAUUCUUUUGUUGUGCACUUACUGAAAAUUCAGUUAGUGCAGUUAUGACAUAAUUGAUCUUGACAAUCCUAGUUGAUCUAGUUAUGCAAAUGUUCAGAAAUGUCCAGUUUGUACAUUUUGAAAAAAGGCUGCCAUGGCCACAAAGGAUGCCAUGCAAGAUUGUUCACUUAAACUUCACUGUACAGCAACUUAAAUUUUGUGCAUCUACUGUUUACUCCACUGUACAAACUUGAAUUUGUGUGACAUGAUCUUCUGUUGGUUGCUACUCCACUGGAUAUUGACUGAAUAGACUAAGCUGUAGGAUAGUGGUGCUGGUCCAUCUAGAGCACUACUCCCAUUUUUGCUCUGCUCCCAUUUUUGCUCACAAUUAUUCAGGUAAGGACUACUCCUAGUAACAAAACAGAUCAUUUACUGAAAAUAGCUCUACAUUUCUUCUUUCUAAUGGUUGUUCCUUUAGCAAUAGCUCUACAUUUACUGAAAAUAAACUUGAUGUACUGAGAAGAAACUUUGCCAUUGUUUACUGAAAAUAAACUUUAUCUAUUGAAAAUAAACAAUCACUGAUCUGCAGCAGUUCUCAUCACCAUGAUAAGACAAGCCAGAUGCUCUAUUUUUAAUUAACAGUAAUCCAUGAUCAGCAGCAGUUUCUUUCACUAAUUUUCAGUUAACAGCAAUCCAUGUUUAUUUUCACAAUGAUCAGCAGCAGUUUUUGUAUUAAAAUGAAUGUACUCCAUGAAUUUUAAGUUAACAACUGAAUUUACUCCAUGAUUGGCAUUGUCAUGAUUCAGUUAACACUAAAUCAACUUCACUAAUUUUCAGGUACAGUACUCUGACGGAGUACCUUCUUCAGAGUGCAGAGGAGCAAAAUUGUUCUGAUCAGCAGCAGCACAGCACAGUCACUUGGAUCAGCGGAAGAGGAGCAUCAGCAGCACGGGCAGAGGAGCAGCAGCAGCACGGGCAGAGCUCCACCAGCGGCAGGGGAGAAGCAGCCGCACGAGCGCACGAGCAGAGGAGAAGGAGCAGCACGGCCGGGGUUGGCAGCGGCGGCUGGGGUUGCCGCGAGUGCGAGGAACUAGUCAGGGAUGCGAGCAGGGAGACGAGAGGAGGCGCCCGUCGAAGUGGUCGCCUUGGAGGAGCAGCCGCAGGUGGGCAGCGGGGCAGCGACGCUGGUGGGCGGCGGCGCAGGGGCGCAGGUGGGUGGCGGCACAGGUGGGCGCCCGCUGUUUGUACGGCGGCUGCCGACGGCCGCUUGGUCCAGCCGUGGUCGAAGGAGGAAGAAGCAGAGGUGAGGGGGGAUUAGCACGAGAUUUAAAACCAGAAGGUUUUUUUUUUGCAAAAUUAGAAAUGAACUGAGCUGGGGACAACUUUUCCCGGACGGAGGGAGUACUAUUUUUAGUGCAUCAAGCUUAGGAGUAGAUUUAUUUGCUAAUAUGAUGGCACAUUUCAGCACCAGCCACAGCUACUACAACAAAACUACCAAACAGCUGCACCUCAGCUCCAGCCUUCCAGCCACAGCUAACAACUACAGCUGCUCCUUUCAGCCGGAGCCGUUGCAACUUAGAAGUUGCAGCCCAAAUAAACACACCCUAAAUUGGCCAAUGUGUUACCUUGGCUUCCACAUAGUAUAGUAUUAUGAUUACUAUCCAAGAAAGGGGUGAAUAACAAAAUGAAAGAAACAAAAAAUGCCCACAAUCUUGGCUUGAACUUGCAAACGACGAAAUGAUAAAAGAUAACAGGAGCAAACUUGACAGAGACGUCAUGGUGUCACGAAUCCAGACGGUCUCAUUCACAAGCAGCCUUGCAAACCUAUCAUCCUUCAAGGUUCUUGACACAAACAAGCUUGACGCUGCCAACCUAACAAACC
rnacentral:lncRNA from 1 species